rnacentral:rRNA from 1 species
AUUGAACGCUAACGGGAUGCCUUACACAUGCAAGUCGAACGGAGUGGCGAACGGGUGAGUAAUGUAUAGGAACGUGCCCAGUAGCGGGGGAUCACUACGCGAAAGCGUAGCUAAUACCGCAUACUAUUGGAGCGGCCGAUAACGUAUUAGCUAGUUGGUGGGGUAACGGCUCACAAAGGCGCCGAUCCAGAGCUGGUUUGAGAGGACGACCAGCCACACGGGGCCUGAGACCCGGCCCGUACUCCUACGGGAGGCAGCAGUGGGGAAUUUUGGCCAAUGGGGGAAACCCUGAUCCAGCCAUCCCGCGUUGGCGAUGAAGGCCUUCGGGUUGUAAAGCACUUUUGGCAGGAAAGCGGUACCUGCAGAAUAAGCACCGGCUAACUACGUGCCAGCAGCCGCGGUAAUAC